rnacentral:rRNA from 1 species
UACCGCAUAAUAGUAGAUGUUGCAUGACAUUUACUUAAAAGGUGCAAUUGCAUCACUACCAGAUGGACCUGCGUUGUAUUAGCUAGUUGGUGGGGUAACGGCUCACCAAGGCGACGAUACAUAGCCGACCUGAGAGGGUGAUCGGCCACACUGGGACUGAGACACGGCCCAGACUCCUACGGGAGGCAGCAGUAGGGAAUCUUCGGCAAUGGACGGAAGUCUGACCGAGCAACGCCGCGUGAGUGAAGAAGGUUUUCGGAUCGUAAAGCUCUGUUGUAAGAGAAGGACGAGUGUGAGAGUGGAAAGUUCACACUGUGACGGUAUCUUACCAGAAAGGGACGGCUAACUACGUGCCAGCAGCCGCGGUAAUACGUAGGUCCCGAGCGUUGUCCGGAUUUAUUGGGCGUAAAGCGAGCGCAGGCGGUUAGAUAAGUCUGAAGUUAAAGGCUGUGGCUUAACCAUAGUACGCUUUGGAAACUGUUUGACUUGAGUGCAAGAGGGGAGAGUGGAAUUCCAUGUGUAGCGGUGAAAUGCGUAGAUAUAUGGAGGAACACCGGUGGCGAAAGCGGCUCUCUGGCUUGUAACUGACGCUGAGGCUCG